rnacentral:rRNA from 1 species
GACGAACGCUGGCGGCGUGCCUAAUACAUGCAAGUCGAGCGGACGGAUGGGAGCUUGCUCCCAGACCGUCAGCGGCGGACGGGUGAGUAACACGUGGGCAACCUGCCUGUAAGACUGGGAUAACUCCGGGAAACCGGGGCUAAUACCGGAUAACUCUUUCCCUCACAUGAGGGAAAGCUGAAAGAUGGCAUCUCGCUAUCACUUACAGAUGGGCCCGCGGCGCAUUAGCUAGUUGGUGAGGUAACGGCUCACCAAGGCGACGAUGCGUAGCCGACCUGAGAGGGUGAUCGGCCACACUGGGACUGAGACACGGCCCAGACUCCUACGGGAGGCAGCAGUAGGGAAUCUUCCGCAAUGGACGAAAGUCUGACGGAGCAACGCCGCGUGAGUGAUGAAGGUUUUCGGAUCGUAAAACCCUGUUGUCAGGGAAGAACAAGUACCGGAGUAACUGCCGGUACCUUGACGGUACCUGACCAGAAAGCCACGGCUAACUACGUG